rnacentral:sRNA from 1 species
UGGCGGCGGCGGCGGGGCAAAAGGUGAUGCGGUAGCCGGUGGCGUUGGCGCAGGUGAAGGUGCUGCUCCGGUCGUCGAACGCGUAGCUGUACGCCUGCGGGCACUGCGCCUUGAACAGCCUCGAGUACUCGCUCGGAGCGCACUUGUCCGGCGACGCGAACCGCCCGCGGCAGCACUGCUCGUCCGUCCCGAACGCCAGGCACGCGCUCUUGCACGCCACCACCGCCGCCGCCGCCGCACCGCCGCGAUCUGCCGCUCGCACCGCCAGCUCGCUCGGGCACACGCGGUUGAUGUCCGCAGGGCACGCCGUCGUCCGGCACAGCGCGGCGGCGGCGCCCUCCUGCCGCCGCUCCAACAGCUCCGGGCGCACCUCGACCGGCAGGUUGAAGCCGUCGACGUUGCUGACGUCGUAGAAGUCGCUGAGGGCGCCGGCGCCGCCUCCGCCGCCGCCGAGGGUGAACUCGGCGAGGGUGGCCGGCGGCGCCCCGCCGGCGCCGUUGCACGCGACCUGCCCCGUCCCGCAGUCGCCGGACUCGCAGGAGAAGCGGCCGCCGCCCGUGGCGCACCGGUGGCGUCCCCACACCCGGCCCGACCACGUGGCUGUGACGCCGGCGACGGAGAGGGAGGCGCCCGGCGGCAGCGCGAAGCCGGUCGUCGGGAACGGCGGGCGGCCCGCCGAGGACAGCGCCGCUGGCCAGACGGUCUCCGGGCAGUUGUUAUGGAAAUGGAACGUGAAGUUGACGGCCGCUGCACCUG